ACUGGGUCAACCACAACGUGAAGGCACAGCCCUCAUGCGCUGUGAUGUCUGGUGGCAAAGACACAUUCAACACAUAAUCGCACGAAUCACUCCAAAUUACAAAUGUGAAAACCAAGCCCGGCCUACAUUUUCCAAGCCUAUGAUGUGGGAAGCCUGGAAUGUUGGGCCACUUGAAGAUGGCCCUCUGAAUUUUGUCCCCCACGCUUCUGCUCUUCUGGGGCUGUGGGGAAAGUGUGUCACAGGAAGCUGAAAACACUGAAGAAGCAAAAGGACCUGAUAAGCCGUGUGGAAGUUUUGGCAAACCAUUUGCCUUCCUAGUUCUUUUUACUUCUGCUGAUAACAAUGUUUGCCUCUCCCCUGCAUGUGAGUUGGAGGGCCUCAUUCCCUGAAGGGUGAGAUGAUGGAUCCCACAUCGGCACCCAUUCCAUCCUCUGGGCUGGGUGCAGGCUGGGGCAUGAGCCUGACUCACAGAGGACCUGUGUCUCAGGCUGGGACCCCCUAAGCUUCCCCUGAGAUACCAGAAUAAUGGAAACUGUGUCCAGAUCCCCUCUUCAAAGCCAACCAAACACAAUAAGAAAAAUGAAUAGCUAAAAACUUCAUCAUCGAAGAAACUAAAGUACAAAGAACUCCAAAGCACAAGGUUGGAGACUAAAUCACCGGCUAUUAAAUUCAAUGAAAGACUGUGUGUGUGUGCCAAAGGGAAGAGGUAAGCAAAC